rnacentral:rRNA from 1 species
UAAAGAUCCGUCGGAUGAGGAUAGGCUCGCGUGACAUUAGCUUGACGGCGGGGUAACGGCCCACCGUGGCGACGAUGUCUAGGGGUUCUGAGAGGAAGGUCCCCCACACUGGAACUGAGACACGGUCCAGACUCCUACGGGAGGCAGCAGUGAGGAAUAUUGGUCAAUGGCCGGAAGGCUGAACCAGCCAUGCCGCGUGAAGGUCAGUGCCCUAUGGGCGUUAAACUUCUUUUGUGCGGGAGCAAUAAGGUCCACGUGUGGACCGACGAGAGUACCGUACGAAUAAGCAUCGGCUAACUCCGUGCCAGCAGCCGCGGUAAUACGGGGGAUGCAAGCGUUAUCCGGAUUUAUUGGGUUUAAAGGGUGCGUAGGCUGUGAGGUAAGUCAGCGGUGAAAUGCCCCCGCUCAACGGGGUGAAGUGCCAUUGAUACUGCCUUGCUGGAAUGCGGAUGCCGUGGGAGGAAUGUGUGGUGUAGCGGUGAAAUGCAUAGAUAUCACACAGAACACCGAUUGCGAAGGCAUCUCACGAAUCCGCUAUUGACGCUGAUGCACGAAAGCGUGGGUAUCAAACAGGAUUAGAUACCCUGGUAGUCCACGCUGUAAACGAUGAUGACUAACCGUCGGCGAUACACAGUC